GAUGGGAGCAGAAGACUCUUCACCCUGCAGGGGAGAGCUGCCAGCAUGAUACUGGCUAGCUUGUCCUGGGUACUCGUAUCCAUCUGUCUCGGAGCCAGUGUGGCCCAGAAAGUCACUCAGUCUCAACCAGAAAUAUCCAUACAAGAGGCAGCAACAGUGACCCUGGACUGCACAUAUGACCCUACUGAAAGUAAUUAUUAUUUGUUCUGGUACAAACAACCUCCCAGUGGGCAGAUGAUUUUCAUUAUUCGCCAAGAGGCUUACAAGCAUCAGAAUGCAGCAGAGGAUCGCUUCUCUGUGAACUUCCAGAAAGCAGCCAAGUCCUUCAGUCUCAAGAUCUCAGACUCAGAGCUGUGGGAUGCUGCCACGUAUUUCUGUGCCCUCAUAGAACACUCCUCCUACAACAAGCUGGUGUUUGGCCAGGGAACAAGACUCUCAGUCAUUCCAAAUAUUAAUAAAACGGAACCUGCCGUGUACCAGCUGAAAGAUCCUAAAUCCAGCGACAUCUCCAUCUGCCUGUUCACUGAUUUUGGUUCUGAACUCAAUGUGUCAAAAGCCAUGGGGCCCGAAGUGUCUAACACUGAGAAAACUGUGCUAGACAUGAAGUCCCUGGAUUCCAAGAGCAAUGGUGCUUUGGCUUGGAGCAAUAAAACGGAUUUUGAGUGUUCAGAUGUCUUCCCAGAGGAUCCAUUCUACCCCAGCUCAGACUUUCCCUGUAAUGCCACCUUGGUGGAGGAAAGCUUUGAAACAGAUAUGAACCUGAACCUUCAAAACCUGACGGUGAUGGGGCUCCGAAUCUUCCUCCUGAAAGUGACGGGAUUUAACCUGCUUAUGACACUGCGGCUGUGGUCCAGCUGAGGUCAGCAAGACUGUGUUCCUCUGCUCCUUCCUCCCCCUCUUCAAGCAGAGGGGAGCUCUCCCAUCCCACAGAGAAGAAGACUCCCAUUGUCUCUCUGACCACCAUGUCAAUGCUGAAUUUGUGAUGAAGAUUCCUGAAGAACUGCCAAACCCUGCUGCCACCCCCUUCCCCAUUCCCUUAUUGCUGCUUGUCACCAUUCACAGCAAAGAUGGGGCUGUGAAGAAAUCCCUCCCCCUCCACAGUGACUGCCUUUGCUGUCCCACUGGGUGACUGGUCCUCAGUGGGGUCUCUAGUUUCUGCUGAAUGUACUGAAGAGUUUUUACUUUUUAAAUAGUGUUCAUAAAGAAAUACAGAUUAUUCUCUCUCACAAGAUGUGGAAUGACAUGAUCUCAUUCCAGUGGUGGCGAACCUAUGGCAUGCAUGCCGAAGUGAGCUGUUUGUUACCAUUGAAAGCUCUAAAAGGUUCGUCAUCAUGAGCUAGACAGACCUCCCUGCUAUGCUGUGACUUGCACCACACUGUAUAUUAUUCUGCUGCCCUUGGCUUCAUUAAAAGUGAUCAGAAGA